rnacentral:rRNA from 1 species
GUGGGGAAUCUUGCGCAAUGGGCGAAAGCCUGACGCAGCGACGCCGCGUGAGUGAUGAAGGCCUUCGGGUUGUAAAGCUCUGUGGGGAGAGACGAAUAAGUCGUGGCUAAUAUCCACGAUGAUGACGGUAUCUCUUUAGCAAGCACCGGCUAACUCUGUGCCAGCAGCCGCGGUAAGACAGAGGGUGCAAACGUUGUUCGGAAUUACUGGGCGUAAAGCGUGUGUAGGCGGCCAUGUAAGUCGGAUGUGAAAGCCCUGGGCUCAACCCAGGAAGUGCACUCGAUACUGCGUGGCUUGAGUGUCGGAGAGGUUGGUGGAAUUCUCGGAGUAGAGGUGAAAUUCGUAGAUUUCGGGAGGAACACCGGUGGCGAAGGCGGCCAACUGGACGAACACUGACGCUGAGACACGAAAGCGUGGGGAGCAAACAGG